GAUUAAGUUAUUAAGGGCGCACGGUGGAUGCCUUGGCACUAGAAGCCGAUGAAGGACGUUACUAACGACGAUAUGCUUUGGGGAGCUGUAAGUAAGCUUUGAUCCAGAGAUUUCCGAAUGGGGAAACCCAGCAUGAGUUAUGUCAUGUUAUCGAUAUGUGAAUACAUAGCAUAUCAGAAGGCACACCCGGAGAACUGAAACAUCUUAGUACCCGGAGGAAGAGAAAGAAAAUUCGAUUCCCUUAGUAGCGGCGAGCGAAACGGGAAGAGCCCAAACCAACAAGCUUGCUUGUUGGGGUUGUAGGACACUCUAUACGGAGUUACAAAGGACGACAUUAGACGAAUCAUCUGGAAAGAUGAAUCAAAGAAGGUAAUAAUCCUGUAGUCGAAAAUGUUGUCUCUCUUGAGUGGAUCCUGAGUACGACGGAGCACGUGAAAUUCCGUCGGAAUCUGGGAGGACCAUCUCCUAAGGCUAAAUACUCUCUAGUGACCGAUAGUGAACCAGUACCGUGAGGGAAAGGUGAAAAGCACCCCGGAAGGGGAGUGAAAUAGAACCUGAAACCG
rnacentral:rRNA from 1 species